rnacentral:lncRNA from 10 species
GCCAGACCUGAGGUCCACUCGGGUCCUAGUCCUGCACUCUGGGGUUAGGGGAACCCAGAGCCAGGUGUAUGGGGACAUCAGCCCCCCAAUUUGAGGACAGGGCCGGAGCAGAAGGGGCUGGAGAGGCCUUGUGCUAGACUCUGGGGAUAUGGAAAUGAGCAAAGUAGAUGUACCCCCGAAACUUGUGGACUAAUGGAGGAGACGGACCUUAAUCAGAUCGUCAUUCAAAGAUACUAUUACAAACUGUUCUGAGAGCCGAGGAAGCAGGAAGGAGCUGUGAGAGACUGAGCUCUAACCUUGGCCAUCAAAGACAAGCUGUGCAGCUCUGGUUUUUUGAGGGCAGGACAUGGAGGGUCAGGCCCAGCUGGAGGCGCACCAAAGCCCAGAGAAAAUUCAGAACCACGUGAACUUGUUGGAUUUCAGCCCCUUGAAGCACAUGUUGCUAUUGCAGCUGCCUUGAUAACUGGGGGGACAGGAGGAGCACGGCUUUCCCAUCUUGUACGGGGACUCGCCAAUCCAGUUGCCCCUGGAAGAGAAAAGGACCCAGGGAGACAGAGGAGCAUUAGGACUCAUUCAAUCAUUUAGUCAUUCAACAAACACUUCUGGAGCACCUAUUGAACAUCAGGAUUUGUGCCGGCUGCUGUCAGUCCACAGUUCUCAAAAGGUGCUCUCAGAAGUUUGGGGGCGGGGAGAGUGGGUGGUGGUGAUACCUGGGAUGACAUGGAGUUCUUUUUUUGUUUAAUUUAACCACUUAGAAAAAAGUUCUGCUUAAAAAAACAAAGGAUUGCAAUCACUAUAGUAGAAGGAUAUAGAAAUGAAAACGGUCGAUUUCCCAUGCCCAAGAGUUUAUAACUUGGUUCUAGUCAUGGCCACCAUUUAUUUAGCAUGUACUAUGGGCAAGGCACCACAGAGGCUAUUUUUAUUUUAUUUUAUUUUAUUUUAUUUUAUUUUAUUUUAUUUAUUUUAUUUUAUUUUACUUUGAGAUAGAGUCUCGCAUUGUCGCCCAGGCUAGAGUGCAGUGGCAUGAUCUCAGGUCACUGCAGACUCCGCCUCCCGGGUUCAAGCGAUUCUCCUGCCUCAGGGACGCACCUCCAUGCCCGACUAAUUUUUGUGCUUUUAGUAGAGAUGGGAUUUCACUAUGUUGGCCAGGCUGGUCUCGACCUCCUGACCUCAGGUGAUCCACUUGCCUCGGCCUCUCAGAGUGCUGGGAUUACAGGCGUGAGCCACCACACCUGGCCUCACAUUAUAUUUUAAUCCUUAAAUUCUGUGAGCAGGUAGCAUUUACCUUAAAGGGGCUGGGCUUGGUGGCUCGUGCCUGUAGUCCCAGCACUUUGGGAGACUGAGGUGGGCAGAUUGCUUGAGCCCAGGAGUUCCAGACUAGCCUGGGCAACAUGGCGAGACCCCCGUCUCUACAAAAAACAAAAACAAAAAACAAAACAUAAGCCAGGUGUGGUGGUGAACGCCUGUAGUCCCAGCUACUGGGGAGGCUGUGGUGUGAGGAUUGCUCGAACCAGGAACGUGGAGGUUGCAGAGCUGAGAUUCUGCCACUGCACUCCAGCCUGGGUGACAGAGCUGGACAGAAGAAAAGAAAGGAAAGGAAAGGAAAGGAAAGGAAAGGAAAGGAGAAAGGGAAAAGGAGAAAGGGGAAAAGGGAAAGGAAAAAGGGAAAAGGAAAGGGGAAGGAAAGAAAGGAAGGGGAAGGGGAAGGCCGAAGCCUGUCAAGAUAAAAUGAUGUAUUCAAAUGCUUAGUAGAUGCAUUGCAGAGGGGAAUCAAACCUAGGCCUGGUAAUAACAAUAGUAACCAAUCUGUAUUUCCCACUUAUGAGCCUGGGGGCAUUACCUGUGUUAUCUCACUCAAUUCCAAGAUUGGGUAUUAUUUUAUUCCCAUUUUGCAGAUGAAGAAACAGGAGUAGAGAAGUUAAGUAAGAUCACACAUUUGAACCCUGGUAGUCUUGGCCCCAGAGGCUAAAAAUCUUAACAACUAUACUGAUAACACUCAAUGCUUCAAACAUUUGAUAUGUCAACAAACAAACUAGAAAACUUGAGCCUGGGAGGUUGAGGCUGCCGUGAGCUGUGACCAUGCCACUGUACUUCCGAGCCUAGGUAACACAGCAAGACCCUGCCUCCAAAAAAAAAAAAAAAAAAAAAAAAAUUAGACGCUAUUUGUAAUGAAAUUUGGUUUCUUGUAUUUUUCUGUCUCUGAUAAAGCUGGGCUGUAACGUGACACAUUGUCAAUAGAUGCCAUUUCUAACAAAUAACAAGUAUCCUGUUUUGAGAAUUUGUUUCAGGCUACUAAUGACUUCAAGAACAUCAGAAUAAUACAAUAGAAAGAAUUUGGAAUUUGGAAUCAAAAGACUGAUUCUUCUGAACCAGCUCUACUACUUGUUGGCUUUGUGACAUUUGGUAAAUUACUCAACCUGCCUGAGCCUCAAUUUCUUAAUUUGUAAAAAGAAUGUCCUCCUAGGGUUCCCCCCUUUUUCCUUCUUUCUUUCAUCUCUUCAAUGAGAUAGUGUGAAAGUAGUUUGUAAAUGAUUAAAGGCUAUGUGACAGUAAAAUGUGGUUAUUAUAUAAUUUUGGAAUUCUAGGGCAGGCACGGUGGGUGGCUCACACCUAUAAUCCCAGCACUUUGGGAGUCCAAGUAGGGAGAUUGCUUGAGGCCAGGAGUUCAAGACCAGCCUAGGCAACAUAAUGAGCCCCCCAUCUCUACAAAAAUGUUAAAAAUUAGCCAGGUGUAAUGGUGCAUGCCUGUACUCCCAGCUACUCAGGAGGGUGAGGCGGGAGGAUUGCUUGAACCCAGGAGUUGGAGGCUGCAGUGAGCUAUGAUCUGGCUAUUGCACUCCAGCCUGGGCGACAGAGCAAGACCUCGUCCCCCCCCAAAAAAAAAAGAAAAAAGAAAAAAAGAAAUUCUAAAUAUCAUGUUUACUUAGAAUUUGUUCUUGUUUUGUUUUUGUUGUUGUUGUUGUUUGAGACGGAGUCUUGCUCUGUUGCCCAGGCUGGAAUGCAGUGGUGUGAUCUCAGCUCGCUGCAACCUCCACUUCUGAGGCUCAAGCGAUUCUCCUGCCUCAGCCUCCCAAGUAGCUGGGAUUACAGGCACGCGCCACCAUGCCCAGCUAAUUUUGGUAUUUUUGGUAGACACGAGGUUUUGCCAUGUUGGCCAGGCUGGUCUCAAACUCCUAACCUCAGGUGAUUCACUCGCCUCAGCCCCCCAAAGUGCUGGGAUUGCAGGUGUAAGACACUGCUCCUGGCCUGUUCUUGUUUUUCUAUGAGAAUCUGGAACGUCUGCAAGUUUCAUUACGCUUGCUCCCUGUUUCCAAGAGGCUUGUAUGCAGGCAUCUCCUAAACUCUCCCACCCAGCAAACUGGAGAAGCUAAGCACACUCAUUCCUCCUUCCUUUUCUUUGGGAUCUGCCUGCCUGCAGGGAGCAUGUGUUCUUGGCUGUAUUUUUCUUGUCGUAAGCUUAGAGGGCUGGCACUGUACUUCUAAGAAGGGGCCUUUGGCUAUCCAGUGUUACCUGCCACUGGAUGUGUAGGUCUAAUUCAGUAGUGAGAUAUUUGUAAGCCUAGUUGGCUGGUGUAUUGGCAGAUGUAAGCCAC